rnacentral:tRNA from 1 species
GCUCAUAUAAUUUAAUAAAAUAUUAGAAUGUGAAUCUAAUUAUGAAAGUUUAAUCCUUUCUAUGGGCC